GACGAACGCUGGCGGCGUGCUUAACACAUGCAAGUCGAACGGUGAAGCCCUUCGGGGUGGAUCAGUGGCGAACGGGUGAGUAACACGUGAGCAACCUGCCCCUGGCUCUGGGACAACCACUGGAAACGGUGGCUAAUACCGGAUACGGCCCGCCUCGGCAUCGAGUGUGGGUGGAAAGUUUUUCGGCUGGGGAUGGGCUCGCGGCCUAUCAGCUUGUUGGUGAGGUGAAGGCUCACCAAGGCGACGACGGGUAGCCGGCCUGAGAGGGCGACCGGCCACACUGGGACUGAGACACGGCCCAGACUCCUACGGGAGGCAGCAGUGGGGAAUAUUGCACAAUGGGCGAAAGCCUGAUGCAGCGACGCCGCGUGAGGGAUGACGGCCUUCGGGUUGUAAACCUCUUUCAGCUCCGAAGAAGCGAAAGUGACGGUAGGAGCAGAAGAAGCACCGGCUAACUACGUG
rnacentral:rRNA from 1 species